rnacentral:misc_RNA from 1 species
GAUGAAGAACGUAGCGAAAUGCGAUAAGUAAUGUGAAUUGCAGAAUUCAGUGAAUCAUCGAAUCUUUGAACGCACCUUGCGCCCUUUGGCCAUUCCGAAGGGCAUGCCUGUUUGAGUAUCAUGAACACCUCAACUCUUUAUGGUUUUCCAUGAUGAGCUUGGACUCUGGGGGUUUUGCUGGCUCACAGUCGGCUCCUCUAAAAUGAAUCAGCUUACCAGUGUUUGGUGGGUAUCAUGGGUGUGAUAACUAUCUACGCUUGUGGUUUUUCCACCAGGUAACCUUCAGCAGUGGAGGUUCGCUGGAGCUCAUAGAUGUCUCUCCUCGGUGAGGACAGCCCUUUGAAUGUUUGAUCUCAAAUCAGGUAGGACUACCCGCUGAACUUAAGCAUAUCAAUAAGCGGAGGA